UACGUAGGGCGCAAGCGUUGUCCGGAAUUAUUGGGCGUAAAGAGCUCGUAGGUGGCUUGUUGCGUCUGCCGUGAAAGCCCGUGGCUUAACUACGGGUCUGCGGUGGAUACGGGCAGGCUAGAGGCUGGUAGGGGCAAGCGGAAUUCCUGGUGUAGCGGUGAAAUGCGCAGAUAUCAGGAGGAACACCGGUGGCGAAGGCGGCUUGCUGGGCCAGUCCUGACGCUGAGGAGCGAAAGCGUGGGGAGCGAACAGG
rnacentral:rRNA from 1 species